rnacentral:rRNA from 1 species
AGAGUUUGAUCCUGGCUCAGGAUGAUUUCUAGCGACAGGCCUAACACGUGCAAGUCGAGGGGCAGCGGGGCGUGGCAACACGCCGCCGGCGACCGGCGCACGGGUGAGUAACACGUAUGCAACCUGCCCCCAACAGGGGUAUAACCCGGGGAAACCCGGACUAAUACCGCGUAGUCCGAAUGAGGGCAUCCUUUUUCGGGGAAAGCUUUUUGCGGUUGGGGAUGGGCAUGCGGCGCAUUAGCUAGUUGGCGGGGUGACGGCCCACCAAGGCGACGAUGCGUAGGGGUUCUGAGAGGAAGGUCCCCCACACUGGUACUGAGACACGGACCAGACUCCUACGGGAGGCAGCAGUGAGGAAUAUUGGUCAAUGGGCGGGAGCCUGAACCAGCCAAGUCGCGUGAAGGAAGACGGCCCUACGGGUUGUAAACUUCUUUAGCCGGGGAGCAACGGCGCGGACGCGUCCGCGUGUGAGCGUACCCGGAGAAUAAGCAUCGGCUAACUCCGUGCCAGCAGCCGCGGUAAUACGGAGGAUGCGAGCGUUAUCCGGAUUUAUUGGGUUUAAAGGGUGCGCAGGCUGCCUGUCAAGUCAGCGGUAAAAUUGCGGGGCUCAACCCCGUACCGCCGUUGAGACUGACGGGCUGGAGUGCGGUUGAGGCAUGCGGAAUGCGAGGUGUAGCGGUGAAAUGCAUAGAUAUCGCGCAGAACUCCGAUUGCGAAGGCAGCAUGCCAAGCCGUUACUGACGCUCAGGCACGAAAGCGUGGGGAUCGAACAGGAUUAGAUACCCUGGUAGUCCACGCAGUAAACGAUGAAU